GGGGCGCUGAAUGAGCGCGGCGGCUCCGCGCAGGUACCGAAUAAAGGCUGGAAAUCACCGGCCGUGCUGGGGCUGCCCCGGCGCUGUCCACCAGUCACCUGCACUGGGGUCCCAGCCCCUGAGCAGCCCCAGCCGGGGAACAGCCUGGGAAUGGUCAUCUCGGCGCCUCCCGAACCGCCUCGUGCCCCCGGGACCACCUUGGAGGGACCCUGCCCGUCUCAGGAACAACGGUGGGGGCUCCACGGCCUGAAACAGCGAUGGGGACUUGUUUGGAUCCUCCAGGCACCGGCCACAUGAGCCUCACAACACAGUGGCUGGGCUGCAGAACCCAACAAGGUUUGUUGUGGUGCCUCCAGCUCGUUGACUGAUGCCCAUCAGCGCUCCAGGCACACCGGGGGCACGGGGAACACCCCCGGGUUGGCUCGGUCUGAUCCCAGCAAAAGAGAGGGAAGAUCACCAGCACUGAGCAGUCACCAGCAGGUGAUGAUCCGGGCAUUCCUUGCCACGUCCCUUAGCUCAGGAUGAGGUAGCUCCCACCUGCUGCUGCCAGGAAGAACCCGCUUCCCAAGGACAGCCCCAGCGGGCUCCCCAAGGAUGACUGCGUUCCCAUUCCAAUGCCAGCUGCCCUGCUCUUUUCAGGGAACAUAAUGCUGCUGCCCAUAUGUCACCUGCUCAUUGUCCUGGAUGAGGCAGAGCAGAGGACUGACUCCCCACUGUGGAAUAUUGCAUGACAUCACUCGAAAACUGGAGUAAUAUGGUGCUGAAUGAAACUACUCAGACGUUGCUGCAGCUUUCAGCACAGCUUUUCUAUCAGCAUAGAGAAGCCAAGUCACAGAUGGCUUUUACACUGCUGUAAUUAAUAAUCAUGGUACCGUGUUAGUGUCAUCUUAGCAUAAAAAUGAAUCUAUAAAUUGCAUUCAGCAUUUUUAGAGCAUCUACACUGACUGGUUUUUGCAACAGAAGAGUACUGCUCUGACAGUAAGUCUUUUUGAACUGCAUUUGUAAAGAAUAAUUUCAAUUUACUGUUUGUUUUCUUUAACAUUAUUUAUGAAGAGGCAUAGUUAAUUUUUUCUGUUCAUCAGUUUUAGAUCGAGCCUUUACAGAGUUAGAUUACUUUUCUUAUUUUACAGCAUGAUGUGUUACAUCACUCCUGAGCUGGCCUAAACUUGGAACAGCCUGAUGCUCACAGCACUCCCAAGACCCAAGACUAUUUUCUUUGUGGGCAGCCCAAAACCCAUUAAUUAUUUAAUGAUUGGACCUGAGGAUCUUAAGGGUCUUUUCCAACCUAAAUGAUUCUGUGAUUCCAUAUUCCCAAACUCAUUUGGCUAUUGAGGAGCCCAGACAGACACAUUGUAUUAUGUAAAUCACAAUUAUUUUUUUCCCCCCACAGAUGGGCUAUUUCCUACUUGGUAUAAAAGGAAUGUGUUUUUCUACACAAAAGCUGUAAUUUACCUGAUGUCAUUUGCCAUCCUAAACCAGAGCAGUAAAAUGCAGCCAACAAGAAACAAAGAAAAACAUGUAAUGAGUCCUUCACUGGCCCCUAAGAGAUGCCUGGAGAGUUUAAGGCUACAACCACCUUAUUGUGAGGACUGGCCUGGUCUCUCUCAGGCUACAGCCUCCUUUUUUGGGGGGGAGCUUACCGGGUCAUAGCAGAAAAUUCUGUUUAGUGAGUAUUGAUUUCCCCCCCCCUCCCUUUCCAUGGGUGUCUGAUGGAUUGAUUGGUUUUGGAAUUUAUGGGAGCUUCCUGCAUCAGCAGCAGCCUGUGGUGCUGUGUUCAGUGGGUUAAGUACCUCUCAUUUUUCAAACUGUCACGUGAUAAUUUCAUCUGGUGACCCCAAGUUCUGGAACUGUGGGAAUCAGGGAACCAUUGUUCCUAGAGAUGUUCCCCGUCAAGAGCUGUGGGCCAUUUAGUUUUCCUGUUCCUUAUCCCAGUCAACCUUGUUCUCAGUCUUUUUAUCCAUAUUAGUUUUAUAUGCCAAACACACCAGCUAAACCUGCAGUGCCACUGUGGACAUACAUGUAAUAUACUGAGUUUGUUCAGGGUUUUUUUAAAGUAUUUUAAAAUUUCUUUCUCUGUUAUUCAGCUCCAAAAACACAUAUUACAAAAACACGAUGUACUUUUGACAAUAAGGAGCUCUUUUGACAAUAAGGUCCUUUCAAAACUGUUCUGUCUGGAGGGCACCUUUGCAGAUUUAGUUAUGCGCUCGAGUUCAUUGAUAGAGUAAUCCUAAGUGACUGGGAAAACUUGGCAUCUGCCUGGAUCCACCAAUAUUUUUCAGAUAUGACAUCGAUCAGUUUUACAGCCUGUUAUGGCGGAAGCUUAAGCUGAGCUUUUCACAGACUCAGAAAUGCUCCUGGUGAAUAUCCCCAAUCACUUUUCAAGAGCAUCCUAUCAAGUUGGGUUGAUAAAGAUGAGAUUAACCUAUUAUGGAUGUCAUUUUUCUCAAACACCGAUAUUCUCAUUUGUCAGUUGUCCCUGGCAAGAGGCAGGUUUGACCUUUAAGGCAGAAAUAUGUAAGAUGAUGUCAAAAUGAAUCAGAAACUCAAAUAAAAUAGAGGUGAUACAGCAUUUCCAAGACUGCAAGAGUGAGAGUUCACUCCCUAUGCCCCCCCCCCCCCCCAAAAAACCCCAUUCUAGAAACAGCAGUGCCAAACACCAACAAAUACCUGCUUUACUUAAAUAUAUUUUGGUGAAUUUUAAUGUGCUUGCAAGGAAAGGGUGAACAAUAAGACAAUGACUGGUGCAGACAAAGCUCUUGCCACUGGCAGAGUGGCCUGACCUUCUGCAGUUUAGUCACUUUAACCUUGGAAGAUUUCGGCUUUGGGACUGCAGAUUGCUGUGUGCCUUGUUUAGUGAGUUUGUAAAGUAAGUUAAAUGAGCUGACAUGGAAAAACUCUGCUUGCUAUGGGUAUUACUGAGUUAAAUACACCCUCAGGUUUCUGUGGAUAUAAUCUGUUUCUCCUUGAAUUGAAAGAUUGAACUCUUUUUUUAUACAACACUCACUAUUACCUCAUUAUGUGGUACUUGGUAAGUGCAUGGUUUUGAAAACUGUCUUACAGAAUAUUUCUAGAAAAGAAUCUAUGAGAAAUUGAAAUACUAGUGUUGAGCUUUUAUUUCAUGACAUCACCCAUCAUGAUUGAACGGAUCAUGGCUUUGUCUUUCUGAGUAAUUGCACCCAUCUUCCAAAUUUGCUGAAUGAUCAUUUAGUGUUUCCUACUUCGGAUGAUCAAGCCUUAUAUCG